GGUCGAUACAUCUGUGACCAUAAAGAAAUCUCUCCAUCUGUACAUAUAAUAACAUAUAUUUGUUAGACAUGAUUUAUACAUACUUAUAAAGAUUGUUCAAUCAUAUUGCUUAACUCAUGCCUAAUGAACCAGCUGGCAAUGCACCACCAUUAGCUAGAUCCAUAAUAGGAUCUACAACAGGCCGACCUAAUCUUUGUGGUGCUAUAAAGAGAAACCUAUCCCAUACCGACA
rnacentral:lncRNA from 1 species